ACAAAAAAACUGACGAGAGACUCAGGUGAGGAGAAGAAGAAAAAAAAUUCAACUUUGAGCGUCAAUAACUUCUACCUAAAAAUUCUAUGAACCCAAGUGACUGACAGUGGUGUAUUUGCUGCGCUGAAGUUGUCGAUCGAUAGGAAAUUUAGGAGUGAAAGAUAUGGAUUCUUAUGCUCUUACUGACUGAAGAUUGGAGGUCUUACUAUAUGAUUAGGUGUCUCUGGAUUCAAUUGGAGGAUUACGAAGAUUGAGGUUUGAGUAGUGGUUUGAGCACCUCUUGUAUGGGUUCAGUUUCUUAAACUCAGAUUAGGGAAAAAGGGGCGCUACAUCUUGAACCUUUGCUUAGUGAGAUAUGACCGUAAUUACUUGCUAGAGACAGUGAAAUAUGUCUUGAACUGCUAGCAUUUGAUGCAAUUCGCGAUAACGACCACGGAUGAUAUCUCCAAGGUUGCUGCCAAGCUCGUGCCGUUUUGUCUAAUUUGGCCCCGGACAUAUCCUUUUUCUCAGAAUGCUCUAGAGAAUCAAAGCUCAUAUUCUCACAGGAAGCGGCCCCACUUCCUCAUUCAGAUAGAGGUACAUGAGGCAACAACACAAUGAGGUGGAGCUUUCUGCUCAUGGAAUGGAUUGUUAGGUUCUUUUGGAUACAUAUGGAAACAUGAUGAAGUAUAUUUGAUAUACAUGAAUACCAGAUUUAUGCAUGGGGAGACAGGCUACCUCUGCAUUCAGAGCUUGGAUCAGAUUAGACUUUCACGGAAUGUAUGAAUGGUUGAUAUAAAUUCUCUCGGGUUUAUAUCAGCAGUUUUUGUAAUGUAUCGCUUAAUGCUAAACUUCUGUCAAGUCCAUAUGCGGCCAAGCCCAUUGAUGGUGGAUUAAUGCCGUGCACACUUGCAAUACGAUGGCAUGGUUGGUCUAAAUUCAAUUGGAUACAACUGAGAGUGUGGAGAAACUCAAGGACGACGCAUGGACAUGUAUGAGCGAGAGGAUAUUCGUAUGGACCAUAACAAAUCGAAGUGGGGAGGAGAGGUGAAGUCGAAGCUUGGCAAGGACGGAAAUGAUAGCAUCAUGAAUCCGUGCUUUGUGGUACGUUUUGUUGUUCAAAUGAAAUACUGAAUAGAAAGAAUUCAAUUGAAUCAACUCAAGUAGGUCUCUUGAUUUAGUAUGUAUACAUGUACAAUAGUCCAUAUAUGAUUGCAUUAGCAAGCCAAGUAGUUACUGUAUUUUAAUGGCUAUUGAGUGGUAUUUCUAAUACCAAGAGGAAGCAUUGGCUUGGAUUUAUAAUUCAUAGAGGAAAUGAUUCUAGGUUAGAUUCAUAUGAUGUACUCAUUCGAUAAAAAUGCAUAAUUAAGUACGUUCUAGCGUAAUUAUAAGCCACUCUCUUGGGCAUGGAAUGUUCUUUUGCUCAUUAUCAGGAAAGUGAGACAAAAAACACAUUAUGUUAAGAAAUGAUUUCCAUGUGGAUCACUUGGUAGACAAUAUAGGACCUAUACGGGCUGUCAUAUUAUGUAAAUUAUCUUCUCCUUGCCAAACAUUCGUUAAAAAUUGUCACCCUGCCUCUGUAACUUAUCGCUGUAGAUUAUAUGCUGGAAGUUUCUUCCCUUUUUCAUAGUUUCAGUAAUGAGUUUGUCCAUAAAAACAAGUUUCUGCUAAUCUAAUAGACAUAACUCAUUGGAUAUGAAUCUUUCACUAAAACUCCCACGUGUUGUUAAGACAUGCUCAUUCAUUUUGGCGACACCUGGAGACCAACAGUAGGUACUUAUUUCUAGGUGAAGCAAUUCUGAUUUCUAUAGCCAGAACCGAAAAAAUAAAAAACAUAAAUAACACAAAACGACCAUUACAGAUAGUAGUUAUGACACAAUGAUGGUGGUAUUAGAAGCGAAAUUGGGUCUAAAAACAUUACAGAUGGUAGAUUCCCAGGGUGAAGGACUCUUUUUUGAUCCCCCUUCUCUCUGUCGGGAAGUGCCUUUUUGCCACAACGUGCUAUUAGAAUUUCUCUUUUACUUAUCUUUGAAUGGAAUAAGAUUCUGCAAUGGGUGUGCCAACUAACCUUGAAGCACGUAGAAGGACCGGGUUCCUUACAAACUCUGGGUUCAUAAGGAUGCCACGUGUUCCGUGAGUUUGGAAAAUGCUAGCAUUAUUUGUGUUAUUGUUCAUAGAAUAUUAGCUUCACUCAUGUUUUUGUAGUCACAAUUUUUAAUUUAUUAGCUACUCGAUUUUUUUUUGAUCCUCUAAUAUUAUGUUUUUCAUCUUUUAUGGUUUUCGCGAGGGUAAACACGACAAGUGUGAGUAUCAGUGAAAAGCAAAGUUUGUCAAAAGUUUCAGUUCUUCAUCUCCUGAUAUGGGGAUCAGUAAUAAUUGUAAAGCCCCACAUAUCGUCUCGCUAUGCUAUGCUAUAGAUUUAUGUUCUAGCAGUUUCAUCAUUUCUUUUGCUCAUCAAUGGAACAGUUUGGCUUUAACAUUAUCUUUCUCUUUACUUCAUUUGCUUAAUUGUUGCGAUUGCGUACGGGUUUUCUUAAGGAUGGGUUUGUUUGGGGAUCUUUCCUUAAUGUGUCCCUGAGUUCAUGCAGAAAGCAGCCUUUGGAAACUUCUAAGGGUGGUCUUCUCCAGGGGCUAGAUAAGUGACAUAUUUUACUAACUAAUGUUAAAAAUUAAGAAAACAUAUUUCUAGAAAUAUCUUGAGCUACAAUUUAUAUCUACUCCGAAGUGUUCACAAGGAAUCAUGUUGAUUUAUCUCUUGCUGAUCAUGAGAGAGUACAAGCAUCACUAUCUAACGUUCCUCGAGUUACACAAGGUUGUUAUAGACUAUGGCAAUAUAAGGAAUCAUUAUUUUCCUGUGGUAUGUACUUUAACUACUACAACUGUUCAUUUAAGAAACAAAUUCGCUGCUAAUGCCUCAUUGUUCUGAAAGGUUGUUUCCUGUUGCUACAUUAGACUUUUGUUUAGGUCAAACAUUGGUAUUACCUGACUGAGCAUUAUCUAA